AAGUCGUAACAAGGUUUCCGUAGGUGAACCUGCGGAAGGAUCAUUACUGAGUGAAAAUCUGGUUGGGUUGUUGCUGUCCCCUGACCCCUCAAAGGUUUGGGGGAAGUGUGCACACCUUGCCAUUGCUUUUCCACUGCCUCACCUGUGCACCACUGUAGAUUGGAUAUGUGGCAACAGUCCGGUCCAGUCUAUGUCCCUUUUAUCAAACCCCAUCAUUAUACAUACGUUGUGUUGUGUUGUGUUGUUUUCUUUUGAAUGGAUAUACUUAUGACAACUUUCGACAACGGAUCUCUUGGCUCUC
rnacentral:misc_RNA from 1 species